CUGCGGGUGCUAUAAUGCAGUCGAACGCUUCUUUUUCCACCGGAGCUUGCUCCACCGGAAAAAGAGGAGUGGCGAACGGGUGAGUAACACGUGGGUAACCUGCCCAUCAGAAGGGGAUAACACUUGGAAACAGGUGCUAAUACCGUAUAACAAUCGAAACCGCAUGGUUUUGAUUUGAAAGGCGCUUUCGGGUGUCGCUGAUGGAUGGACCCGCGGUGCAUUAGCUAGUUGGUGAGGUAACGGCUCACCAAGGCCACGAUGCAUAGCCGACCUGAGAGGGUGAUCGGCCACAUUGGGACUGAGACACGGCCCAAACUCCUACGGGAGGCAGCAGUAGGGAAUCUUCGGCAAUGGACGAAAGUCUGACCGAGCAACGCCGCGUGAGUGAAGAAGGUUUUCGGAUCGUAAAACUCUGUUGUUAGAGAAGAACAAGGAUGAGAGUAACUGUUCAUCCCUUGACGGUAUCUAACCAGAAAGCCACGGCUAACUACGUGCCAGCAGCCGCGGUAAUACGUAGGUGGCAAGCGUUGUCCGGAUUUAUUGGGCGUAAAGCGAGCGCAGGCGGUUUCUUAAGUCUGAUGUGAAAGCCCCCGGCUCAAC
rnacentral:rRNA from 1 species